rnacentral:rRNA from 1 species
GUCCUUUUGAGAUAAAUUUAAGGUCUAACCUGCCCACUGAUUCUUAAAUGGCCGCAGUACUUUAACUGUGCAAAGGUAGCAUAAUAAUUAGUCUUUUAAUUGAAGGCUGGAAUGAAUGGUUGGACGAGAUAUUUUCUGUUUCAUACGAAAUUAUAGUAGAAUUUUAUUUUUCAGUAAAAAAGCUGAAAUAUUCUUAAAAGACGAGAAGACCCUAUAAAUCUUUACAUUUAUUAAUAAAUUACAGAGUUAGAAAAUUUUUAGUAAUUUAUUAAUGAAUGUUUUAUUGGGGUGAUAUUAAAAUUUAUAAAACUUUUAAUUUAUUGUACAUUUAUGUAUGAAUAUAUGAUCCGUAUACACGAUUAAUAAAUUAAGUUACUUUAGGGAUAACAGCGUAAUUUUUUUGGAGAGUUCUUAUCGAUAAAAAAGAUUGCGACCUCGAUGUUGGAUUAAGGAAUAAUUUUAGGCGCAGCCGUUUAUAAUAUAAGUCUGUUCGACUUUUAAACCCUU